GGUGGUUCUCGGGUGAUGCACCCAGAACCAGAGAAGAGGGAGACCGAUUCCAGGGUGCAUCACCCAAGAACCACC
rfam:Myotis brandtii contig234934, whole genome shotgun sequence.